rnacentral:rRNA from 1 species
UGGCGAACGGGUGAGUAACACGUUGGUGACCUGCCCCGAGGUGGGGGAUAACUCCUCGAAAGAGGAGCUAAAACCCCGGAUGUCUGAGGUGUUAGAGGCUUCAGACUAAAACUGAGGUGUCUCGGGAGGGGCCUGCGGGCUAUCAGCUAGUUGGUGAGGUAAAGGCUCACCAAGGCGCACACGGCUACGGGGCGUGAGAGCGUGAACCCCCACAAGGGAACUGAGAGACUUGUCCCUACUCCUACGGGAGGCAGCAGUGAGGAAUAUUGAGCAAUGGGCGCAAGCCUGACUCAGCAACGCCGCGUGGACGAUGACGGCCUUCGGGUUGUAAAGUCCUUUUCUGAGGGACGAUGAUGACGGUACCUCAGGAACAAGUCCCGGCUAACUACGUGCCA